rnacentral:rRNA from 1 species
CUGUGCAAAGGUAGCAUAAUCAUUAGUUUUUUAAUUGGAAACUUGUAUGAAGGGUCUGACAAAGAAAAAGCUGUCUUUAAUUUUAUUUUUGAAUUUAACUUUUAAGUGAAAAGGCUUAAGUAAAUUUAAGGGACGAUAAGACCCUAUAAAUCUUUAUAUUAUAUUAUUAUCUUAAAAUUUAAUUUAGUUUGUUUAUAUUUUAUAAGAAAAUAAUAAAUAUUUUGUUGGGGUGACAAGAAUAUAAAAUAAACUGUUCUUUAUAAAAACAAAUUUGUUUGUUAAAUAAAAUAAUAGAUCCUUUUUAAAGAUUAAAAGUUUAAGUUACUUUAGGGAUAACAGCGUUAUUUUUUUUGAGAGUUCUUAUCGAAAAAAAAGUUUGCGACCUCGAUGUUGAAUUAAAAUUUCUUUACGGUGUAGAAGUUGUGGAAGAGAGUCUGUUCGACUUUUAAAAUUUU